ensembl:snRNA
GUGUGGCAUGAGAGGAGAGAAGGUUAGCAUUCUCCUUGACAAGGAUGGAAGAGGCUCUUGGGCUGCGCAACACGCAUAUGGGUAAGCCAUUGCCACCUACUUCGUGGCAUUUAACCAUCGUUUUGA